CCUACGGGCGGCAGCAGUGGGGAAUAUUGGGCAAUGGGCGCAAGCUUGACCCAGCAACGCCGCGUGAAGGAAGAAGGCCCUCGGGUUGUAAACUUCUUUUAUUCGGGACGAAACAAAUGACGGUACCGAAUGAAUAAGCCACGGCUAACUACGUACCAGCAGCCGCGGUAAUACGUAGGUGGCAAGUGUUAUCCGGAUUUACUGGGUGUAAAGGGCGUGGAGGCGGGAGAGCAAGUCAGACGUGAAAUUCCAGGGCUCAACCCUGGAACUGGGUUUGAAACUGGUCGUCUAGAGUGAUGGAGAGGCAGGCGGAAGUCCGUGGGUAGCGGUGAAAUGCGUAGAUAUACGGAGGAACACCAGAGGCGAAGGCAGCCUGCUGGACAUUAACUGACGCUGAGGCGCGAAAGCGUGGGGAGCAAACAGGAUUAGAUACCCGUGUAGUC
rnacentral:rRNA from 1 species